AGACCAGGUCCGGAUGCUGCGAGUGCUGCGCCUGUCCCGGGACCCUCGACCGGGCGACUCCCCCGGGGCGGGGGUGGCGUGUGGUCUCUAGACAACUGAGGGAAAGUAGACAGACCGUGCUCACCGAUUUAAAAGAACAGCCCUGAAAUGACCCCCGUUACACCCUGUUCUCUUUAGACAAGUUACUUCCACCUGGAGCGGUUUCUGGGCCCGGGUAUGGGGAUUUCUUCACCCGGCCCCCUAGGCUUUCACCUCGGUGGAAUUUCCCGCGCCCCCGCUGGGAUGAUUUAGGGACUGUUGGCUAGAACUGCCCUUGCCUACCGCCCUACUGCGGGCGCUCCCCUGUCUGGGGGGUGCUUGGCUGGGUGUGGAGAAGGAUCAAUCACAGCUGACUCCUCAGAGGUGACAGCCCCUGCCCCCUUAAAAACAAGAAAAGACCUAGCAGUGUGAAGCCAAACUGCACCCCCAGCCCCGGUGACAUGAGGAAACCGUGAGGCGCUCAGCCUGAGGUUCAUCGUUCAUCUCCUUCCUGCUUGGAAUCAGAAUGUCCUCACUGCUGAGUUUCUCCGUUUUAUGGGAUUACAUUAGUGGACAAAGGAGUGAAGCAAAGCAGCACUGAGCUCCUCCAAGUAAAGAAAGAAUUGUUUUCUGUACAACCUGGAGCUGAAUCAUAGAAGGAGAAGACAGCUUGAAAGAUAAGAGGCCGUAAGGCAGACCACAGAGGAUGGGGAGGAUUUCCCCAGCACCCCAGCCCCCAUAGUCAGCUCUGGUUCAGCGAUUUCAGCAACUCUUUCAUGACCCAUCUGAUUUUGUUUUAUCCCAGCCCUGCAGAGAAAGGACUCUGCAGGUCAGGACUUGCUUCUUCAACAGACAAAAACUCCUCUGCCAGAAAAGUUGGAGAAACUAGUUUAGAAAGUCGGAGGAUGUGAAGAAGUCUGCCUUUGUUCUGGGGACCUUGGUGGGAGAUGAGGGUGGGCUGGUGGAGACGAGGGUGAGAAUGAACCUUGCCGCAGACCCUUUGGGCUCCAUGCAGAGCUGGCUGCAGAAGAGGAAGGAAAGGAAAUUGGCCAGCUGCUGUCUCUGUGACUGGACCUGGGCCAAUCAAGAAACUGAGAGGAGCAGGGCCAGCCGGCUGUUGUGCCUCAAACUUAGGCAGAAACAAGCAAAGGCAAGGAUUUGGGGCUCUGAGUCACCCUCUCUGGAGGAACAAGAGCUUAGAGGAGGAAAUCACUUUUUAAGCUCCCUUUACUUUUACACACACGUUUUUAUUCCAGUAAAUUCAAACUAAAGAGGAAGAAGUCAUGAAAGGGCAGCUGCCACCUCAGGCCAUGGUGGCGGAGACAAAGGCUAUGGGCCGGUGUAGACGUCUAAGAAACCAACAGGAAGUCCCAGCCGGAAACACAGAAAGGAUAUGGAGAAAAUUAUUAUUCUGCCCCUACAGUUUCGGUGACCCAGAUGGGAUCUCUGGGACACCCUGCCUGCUCUACAAUUGGGAUCCCUGGAAAAGUGACAGAAUCUGGCAACAGGGGCCUGCUCUGUCGCCCAGGCUGGAGUGCAGUGGCACAAACACAGCGGACUGCAGCCUUGACCUCCCAGGCUCAUGCAACCCUCCCACCUCGGCCUCUCAAGAAACUGGGACCACAGGCACGUGCCAUCAUACCUGGCCAAUUUUUCAGUUUUUUUGUAGAGAUGGGGUCCCCUGUAUUGCUCAGGCUGGUCUCAAACUCCUGGGCUCAAGUGAUCCUCCUGUCUUGGUUUCCCAAAGUGCUGGGAUUGCAGGUGUGAGCUACUGCACCCGGCCCAAUAAAAAAAUCUCGUUCUGUGAAAGAAAUGUUUAAUAAAAGUUGUAUUGUCAAAUUUUUAUAAAGUGAAUCCCUUUUCAAAUGAACCAGUGUAAAAGAAUGCUUGAAAGAACUUCCAGUGAAGCAGAGUCCUUUUGCAAUAGUAAAAUUUACACCUUUGUUUAUCUGUUUUGUGAUGCAAAUUUGGAGGGGAUAUUUGUUUUUUUUUUUUUUUUUGGUAGAGCCUCUGUUGCCAGGCUGGAGUACAGGGGCACGAUCUCAGCUCACUGUAACCUCCGCCUCCUGGGUUCAAUUGAUUUCUGCUUCAGCCUCCCAAAUGGCUGGGACUACAGGUGCCUGUCACCACACCUGGCCACUUUUUGUAUUUUCAGUAGAGACAGGGUUUCACCAUGUUGGCCAGGCUGGCCUCGAACUCCUGACCUCAUGAUCCGCCUGCCUUGGCCUCCCAAAGUGCUGGGAUUACAGACAUGAGCCACUGCAGCCGGCUAUUUGGGUCUCUUAAAAAAAGGCAUACCCACCCAAUUAAAGUCAAAUUGCAUUAUGGAAAAUGUUUGUGAAAAUCAAAACUCUCUGUAAAAAGAGCAGUAACAUUGGGCUCUAAGGUAAAGAUCAAUGCUUCCUGGAAAACAUCUACCUUUCUACAUCACCAGCAAUUGAUAUGCACUGUACAGCUGCUUGGCAAAAAUGGCCAGAACAACAAAUGGUAGUAUCAAUACUCUAAGACAGGGGUCUCCAAACCAAGAGCCGAAGACAGGUCCCGGUCUGUGGCCUGUUAGGAAUCAGGCUGUACACCAGGAGGUGAGUGGUGGGCAAGCGAGCAUUACCACCUAUAUUAGUCCGUUUUCACACUGCUAUAAAGUGUGAGAUAUACCUGAGAUAGUAAUUUGUAAAUGAAGGAGGUUUAAUUGAUUCACAGUUCCACAUAGCUGGGGAGGCCUCGGGAAACUUACUGGUGGAAGGAGAAGAAGACACUUUCUUUUUUUUUUUUUUUCCGAGACGGAGUCUUGCUCUGUCGCCCAGGCUGGAGUGUAGCGGUGAGAUCUCAGCUCACUACAACCUCCGCCUCCCAGGUUCAAGCAAUUCUUCUGCCUCAGCCUCCUGAGUAGCUGGGAUUAGAGGCGCCCACUACUGUGCCCAGUUAAUUUUUGUAUUUUUAGUAGAGACAGGG
rnacentral:lncRNA from 1 species